ensembl:lncRNA
GUCCCUGUCCCUGCCCUCAGCUCCUCUGAACAGCGAUGCUCCUUUCAGUGCAGCAGUUUCCUGGUGCCGUACGUUUUCAUCCAGAUCAGUAACGCGUCUUCCUACAGUUCAGCAGACAUGUCUUUAACCCUGGAGGUGAUUGGGACUGUCUGGUGAUCCGUUAAAGAUAACCUCUGAACUGCUGAGGGAAGCCUCCUCUAUAUAUCCACGGGUAGGGGGUGUAGGGUGGAGUAGGGGGUGGAGUAGUUUGAGACUUGUUAAUUAGUCCAGUAUCAUUUUAAACUAAUUAUUAUUCUGUUAACCACUCUACAUUAUCCAGGUGAGUGGUGACUCCAUCACAUAAAGACGUGUUCUGAAGAGGCUCCUGUUUGUAGUCUUUGUGGUCUCACGUCCUUUAGAGUUUCUGCAGAGCUUCACCCCAACAGUUAAUCUCUCUCUCUCUCUCUCUCUCUCUCUCUCU